AAAUAACAUCUUAAUCAACAUCUUCAAAGGUAUCAAAUCUUUAUAAUUACAUUGCUUUACUCGUCUAAGCAUUUUGUGGCAGGGAAUACCAAUAUUUUCUGUGAUUGCAGGUUAACAGUGAGGGCAAAAGCAUUUGAAGGCAGGCUGAAACAGAUGAUCAUUAUCGCUCGACUUAAGCAGAAACAAGAGUGCCAUUGACCAGAUGAGGGACGACUGGCCUCUGAUUGAUCGUCUGAUUGACUCGCUUGCACAGGCAUUUAUCACCCUCUCCGGAACAGAAAGGGAGAGAGAGAGAUUUAACCUGUGACCUCUAGUGGCUGGACCAUCCGGGACUGUGACAGGAGAGAAUCUCCUGGGAACUAGAUGGGAAAAUAAGAGACAUGGAGGGAAAGAGAGGGAGUGAGAGAGAUUGUAUCUGUGCUGAGGAUGUGUCAACACAUAAUCUCUCUCACACAUUGAUCCUAACAAUCACAAAGUUCCUUCCUGUUUCCUCAUGUGCUGCGUGUAUUACAGAUGGAUCCCCUGCUACAAACUCAGCACACCUAAUGAGCCAUCUCACUUUACAUCCACACAGAACUCUGGAAUGAGGUUAUCUUGCUAUGGCUUUGCUUGUCAUGAUGCUGUUUUGUGUAUAUAAAAUACUAGCAGAUUGUUUCCUUUCUUUGCUUCUGUAUGUUUUUGUUAUAUCUCUGUGCCAGUGUGUUGCAAAUGUUCGAAUACGUUUGGCCACCAGAGGGCGCUGGUAUAUGUAAAGAACGGGAACAUCAAUCAGUAUCCUCCCUUUCCUUUAGGUUAGUUAGCCUAUGUUUGCUUCCUUGCUCUUCAAAUUACUCAUAGAUUUAAAAGUCAUGUUUUAAAAAACAAAAAACACAUUGGCUCAUAAUUUAUAAUGCAGCACAAUUUACAAACAAAAUGCUAUUAAUGGGAUAGUUUAUUGACAAAAAUGGAAAUUCUUUCCUUCUUUUACUCACCCUCAUAUUUUUUCAAACCCGUCUUUUUCUGUAGAAUACAAAAGAAGAAAUUUUAAAGUAUGUUGGUAACCCAACAACA